rnacentral:rRNA from 1 species
UUCCGGNUGAUCUCGCCGGAGGUUACUGCUAUCGAGGUUCGACUAAGCCAUGCGAGUCGAAUGCCGCAAGGCAUGGCGUACUGCUCAGUAACACGUGGACAACCUACCCUUAGGACUGGGAUAACCCCGGGAAACUGGGAAUAAUCCCCGAUAGUCCUCGAAGGCUGGAAUGCAUCGAGGGCGAAAGCUCCGGCGCCUAAGGAUGGGUCUGCGGCCUAUCAGGUAGUAGUGGGUGUAGCGUACCUACUAGCCUACGACAGGUACGGGUUGUGAGAGCAAGAGCCCGGAGAUGGAUUCUGAGACACGAAUCCAGGCCCUACGGGGUGCAGCAGGCGCGAAAACUUUACAAUGCUGGCAACAGCGAUAAGGGAACCUCGAGUGCCAGGUUACAAAUCUGGCUGUCGAGAUGCCUAAAAAGCAUUUCAUAGCAAGGGCCGGGCAAGACCGGUGCCAGCCGCCGCGGUAACACCGGCGGCUCGAGUGGUAACCGUUAUUAUUGGGUCUAAAGGGUCUGUAGCCGGCCGG